UGCAUAUUCUCACCCCCCCCACCACCACCACCAAACUGCUGAAACCUGCUGAAUGAGAAGCAAAAACCCACCAGGCCAAGCCUUACACGACUCUGACCCACUGACAUCUGAAAACUGGGGCUCUGCUGCCGCCAGUCUGGGCCCAGCUGAUCGGACCUCUGAAUCCACAGAAAGCAGCCCAUUGGCUUGCCUGUGGCCUAUGACAUGGCAGAGCUCACAAAGAGGAGGUGUGGACCAAUCCGCUAUCGCCUCUCACUGGAGCCACGCCUCCUCCCAGCUGGGCUGGGCGGAGUCAGAAGAUGAAAGCGAGAGGGCGUGACUGGAGCACAGCAGAGAGUCAAGUCGAAUGACGCGGCUAAGCUCCAGUUUCCUCCAGUUGUAAAAUGGGGGUGUGUCAGCUGCCUUCCUAGUAUGGGUGUGUUUAACCAGGCCGUGCGGUGAGACUGGCGCCCAAUGAAUCCUGAACUGACCAACGGUGAUACCCCAGGGGGGAUACGUCAGUGGGGGAGCAGCACGGAGGCCGCUCGGGGCUCUGGAGAGAGGAAGGUGUCCUCACGGCAAGGGGAGGCGCACCGAAGCACUCCGGCUUGAUGGGUCACAUGCUACUGAUUUCGAAAGCGUUCGUUCAGCAAAAAAUGUGUUAUCCACAACACAGCAAGCAGACACGGCACCUGGCAGCCCGGUCACAACUGAGGACAUGAGGGGUGGGUGUCCACUGAACUGCGCUUCAACUUCCCUACACGGAUGGAGAACGUGAGUUCAAGCCCAAAUGAUGACCCAAGACCCCGGACACCGCCACUGGCCCCGGCACUCCUGCCGGGCACUGCGCCCACACUCAUUAUCUGCUGCAGCAGCGAACUGCCCCACUCACUGUACCUGUUUUUGAGAAGAUGAGCUGCAGAAUGAGAGGCCGCCGGGUGACGAUUCCUGAACCUCGGGGAAGGAAGUCCCUGUGGGAGGGGAAAAGGACAGAAAUUACUCAGCGGCUGGCUCGCGGGGCAGGAAGUGUGACCACACGUGUGAAGCAAUCCCGCCUGGCGACUGGGGCAACCUCAGCAAAGAUACCAGUCCCAGCCAGACACAGCAAAGAUACCAAGAUCCUGGCCAGAUCUUGGAGGGUCCUGAGGCCACCGGGGGCAGAAGAGGGACUGGAAUGAAGGUUGGUGGUGAAUGGAACCGUCUCCCUCUGGCUGGCCGUGCUCCAGCCCCAGCAUGCCCCCAGAGCCCUUUCGCUGACAGAUAUUUGAACAAUAUCUCCUGCACCCCAAAGAAACGGGUUCAUUUCCUACAUACGUGUUUUAAAUUAAUUUAAUGCCUUAUGUAUGGUACGAAGACUAAAUAAAAGGAAAGUAGUUGAUGACAAAAUACAUGUUUCAUGUCCCAAAAAGACAAAUCGAUGCAGGCAGGAUCAAUGGCUGCCCAAGGGGUGGGACAUGAGGAGGGAGCUUUCUGGAAAUGUCCUAAAACCUGACUGUGGUGAUGCUAAUAUUUACUGUAAGUGUACUAAAAACCACUGCAUUUGAAAUGGGUAAAUUUUCCUGGUAUAUAAACAAUCCCUCAAUAAAGCUGUUAAAUAAAGAAACGUACCCUGCGUAUUUCACCAAGGAAAUACUCAGGCACCAGCUGGACCUACACCACUACACGUGGGUUCAUGCAAAGCAGGACGACCAGAAGGCCCUCUGGACCAUUGAGAAAGGAAAGCCAAAGAGCCAGGGUCCAGUGAGCGUGGAAGUAGAAGAGGGGUUUUCGGAGAUUGAAGCCGUGCAAAGGA